rnacentral:rRNA from 1 species
GAUGAACGCUGGCGGCGUGCCUAAUACAUGCAAGUCGAACGCACAGCGAAAGGUGCUUGCACCUUUCAAGUGAGUGGCGAACGGGUGAGUAACACGUGGACAACCUGCCUCAAGGCUGGGGAUAACAUUUGGAAACAGAUGCUAAUACCGAAUAAAACUCAGUGUCGCAUGACACAAAGUUAAAAGGCGCUUUGGCGUCACCUAGAGAUGGAUCCGCGGUGCAUUAGUUAGUUGGUGGGGUAAAGGCCUACCAAGACAAUGAUGCAUAGCCGAGUUGAGAGACUGAUCGGCAACAUUGGAACUGAGACAAGGCCCAAACUCCUACGGGAGGCUGCAGUAGGGAAUCUUCCACAAUGGGCGAAAGCCUGAUGGAGCAACGCCGCGUGUGUGGUGAAGGCUUUCGGGUCGUAAAGCACUGUUGUAUGGGAAGAACAGCUAGAAUAGGGAAUGAUUUUAGUUUGACGGUACCAUACCAGAAAGGGACGGCUAAAUACGUGCCAGCAGCCGCCGUAA